CCUACGGGCGGCAGCAGUGAGGAAUAUUGGUCAAUGGACGAGAGUCUGAACCAGCCAAGUAGCGUGCAGGAUGACGGCCCUAUGAGUUGUAAACUUCUUUUGUACGAGGAUAAACCUCGGUACGUGUACCGGUUUGUAUGUACCCUACGAAUAAGGAUCGGCUAACUCCGUGCCAGCAGCCGCGGUAAUACGGCGGAUCCGAGCGUUAUCCGGAUUUAUUGGGUUUAAAGGGUGCGUAGACGGUUUGAUAAGUUAGUGGUGAAAGUUUGGGGCUCAACCCUAAAACUGCCUCUAAUACUGGUAGUCUUGAGAAUAGUUGCGGUAGGCGGAAUGUGUGGUGUAGCGGUGAAAUGCUUAGAGAUCAUAAAGAACCCCGAUUGCGAAGGCAGCUUACCAAACUAUAUCUGACGUUGAUGCACGAAAGCGUGGGUAGCAAACAGGAUUAGAUACCCCGGUAGUC
rnacentral:rRNA from 1 species